rnacentral:rRNA from 1 species
UACGUAGGGGGCGAGCGUUGUCCGGAGUUACUGGGCGUAAAGGGCAUGCAGGCGGUCGGACGCGUUUCGGGUGACAGCGGGUGGCUUAACUACCCGAGUGGUCGAAAGACGGUUUGACUUGAGGACGCGAGAGGGACACGGAAUUCCCAGUGUAGCGGUGAAAUGCGUAGAUAUUGGGAGGAACACCAGAUGCGAAGGCGGGUCACUGGGCUGAUACUGACGCUGAAGUGCGAAAGCCAGGGGAGCGAACGGG